rnacentral:rRNA from 1 species
UACGUAGGGCGCAAGCGUUGUCCGGAAUUAUUGGGCGUAAAGAGCUCGUAGGCGGUUUGGCAAGUCGGGUGUGAAAUUUCGAGGCUCAACCUCGAAACGCCACUCGAUACUGCUAUGACUGGAGUCCGGUAGAGGAGUGCGGAAUUCCUGGUGUAGCGGUGAAAUGCGCAGAUAUCAGGAGGAACACCAACGGCGAAGGCAGCACUCUGGGCCGGUACUGACGCUGAGGAGCGAAAGCGUGGGGAGCAAACAGG